UACGUAGGGGGCGAGCGUUAUCCGGAUUCAUUGGGCGUAAAGCGCGCGCAGGCGGGCUCGUAAGCGGGACCUCUAAUCUCGGGGCUCAACCCCGAGCCGGGUUCCGAACUGCGAACCUCGAGUGCGGUAGGGGAGGUCGGAAUUCCCGGUGUAGCGGUGGAAUGCGCAGAUAUCGGGAAGAACACCGACGGCGAAGGCAGACCUCUGGGCCGUCACUGACGCUGAGGCGCGAAAGCUAGGGGAGCGAA
rnacentral:rRNA from 1 species